rnacentral:tRNA from 1 species
GAGGCUAUAGCUCAGUGGUAGAGCGCGUGCUUAGCAUGCACAAGGUCCUGGGUUCAAUCCCCAGUACCGCCA